rnacentral:tRNA from 2 species
GGGCGUGUAGCUCAGUUGGAAGAGCAACUGGUUUACACCCAGUAGGUCGGGGGUUCGAGCCCCUCCGCGCCCA